ensembl:lncRNA
GAUUCGAGACGAGACGAUUGGAUCUGCCAGCCGGCAGGAACGUUAAUUACUUCAGCAAUCUUCAGGCUCACUUCCCACAAUCACUCCCAUCACUGGGGAGGGAAUGAGCUCGGCCAUUCAGGAAGCCCGGAUCCGGACCGAGGCUCCGAUUCAAAUCUGCUCUCAGCUUCAUGUGGAUCAGCGUGACGUCACCGGUUUCCAUCAGAGCAGCCGCUCCAAUCGUGAGCCUCACCAGCCUGGGAGUCAUUUCACAUUUUGUGUUUCAACAUCCCAACCGUGUGAGGAUAAAGCGCUUUGGAGGAUCCCGGUUGUACGUUGGGUCAUCGGAUGAAAGCUACAGUUUGGUUAGCGGGUGUCGCGCCGCCGCCGUCCUGUGAACCUCCUCGUGUCCUUCCAAGGUGACAGCUUCUAGUGGGGGGGUUCUGGCAAAGAUACCCUUCAGCAAAUUAACAAAAACCCCAUGAUGAGCCGCCGCCGGCGCACACACACACACACACACACACACAUAUGCCACAUCAUCAGAGAGUGUGAACAGACAUCUCCUGCGAUCUGCCAGCUAGACACUUACACGCACACACCGGAGGCGAGAGGAGCCGAAACCGUCUAAUUAACCAGUCCUGACCCAGCAGCCAAGAGCAACCUUAUGAUAAGCAGAACUUUAACCAGCACUGCCACUUGAGCUCUGCCAAACUGAGGUUCAGACCAUCUGAUGUCCUCAGGGACUCCGACUGGGAAGGGAGGAAGAUUUUGUUUGGAUGUUACCAAUUCUGAAUAGAACUUAGUGUACUUAAGUUUGAUAGAUACAUCCGUUGGAAUCCUGUUGGUUUGUAACCGUAGAAAAGCCUGGUCUCCUAAAAGUGAUAUCUUCCAUCAAUUAUUUCCUCACGUUUUUUACUUUUCUGAACAAACACAGAAUGUUGGCCUAGGAGACCACUGUCCAUGUUGUUUAUUUUUAUUUACACAUGCCAAACCAUGGUAUUUUCUUUUUAACUAAAUGUGACAAAGUAUUUGUUGCAUUAUUGUGUUGUUUCCUUCUAAUUCACAUGUGCUUAAAACCAAAACUCUAAUUUCAAUAAAAAUGUAAUUGAGAAUACAGUUGCGCAAACAGUGCGCAAACCCCAGAAACAGUGCUGUGCUUAAUAACACUGUGCCUCUGCGCAGCGAUGAUCAUGACCAAAGCGUUUGUGUUUGUCCAGAACUGUUAGGCAGGCGAGAGUAAAAAAAAAAGAAAAGAAAAGUCCAUUUUCAGUUCGUGCCCCUGAGGAAAUCAGCGAGAAUAAGCCGCUAUUAGGAGAGGGGAUUCCGACCCGGUGGGCACAGAGAGAGAGCGACCUUCAUCAGAGCCGCAGUCACGGUCUCUCUCACACACACACACACACACACUUGAUAUGCAUUGUUUUUAGGCAUCGGCCGAUAAAUGGGGAAUUUUGUGCCGUUGUUUAGUGGGUGAAACUGAAGACGGCGGAUCAGGACAGCGACUCCUCCGACUCGCCAGACCGCCCCGCAGGCCUCAUGUCAACGCAGACAUUUGGGAAACUACAUCGUGCCUCCGGCCUUGAUACUGAUUUUCUGUGUUUGACGCGCUUCCUCGGGACAGCUUCUCGCUGUAUCACAAGCUUUAAAUAGGACAACGGUUGUUAAGAAGGCGCCCAAAGGGGGCCGAACUGGGGCGAGAGAGGAAGGACACACCAACUGCUGGCGAGACCCUAUUCGUGACCUUCCACUUACAUUCUCACCCAUUUCCACUCUGAUGCGAUGAGUCGUCAUAUAAAACCUGAAUGCGUCAAUUCAGCCAUUUAAAUGCAAUGAUCAGACAUAAUUAAUAGAACUGUAGUUAAAAAAAGUAUCUCUUGUUUUUAUGUAAAGUGGACGCCAGAAAAGAAAGUCAGUGUGAGGAGAUUCACAUCUACACAGAUAUGGAUCAUUACUGCUUGAAGGGUUUCAAACCCGUGGGGCAUUUUUUGUGCAAAUUUGCUUUAUUCAUUAUUCUUUAGCAAAAAAUAAUUCAAUGAGGUCAGUUUUUUCAGAGCAUCGGCGGCACAAAGAAAGGGAUCAAUCAAACAUGUUGUGUGGAACGAACAUACUCACAACGCACACUAAUUGGGAAAAUUAUGAACAAUAACACAGAUGCUCCAUAGUUUGAAAAUUGAAAGUUGCCAAAGGCAGUGUGAACCAAAUCAGCUCCUCACAUUCUUACCUUUCACAAUGAAAGCUCUACAAAUAUACAUUGAUUAACUUUGUCCCACAGGGAACCUAAAUUAAAUCAGAAGAUUUGGCUCAAUGGAAGCUCCAUAAAAUGUCACACAGCUUCUCUUGUCUUUAUACACACGUUUAUGGUGAGUCUGGUUUAUCUCAGAUAAUCUAUUCAAAACCUUGUGUAGCCAAACAAACAAAAGAACUUGCGGUAAGAUUCGCAGAGAGCCUUCACAUCUUCCGCCGCAAACUAAAGACACACCUCUUCAGACUCUACCUCGACUAAAGACAAAUUGUAGCACUUAAAUUGUACUUGUAACGUCACUCAUCUAUAGCAAAUUGUAAAUUGGCUUAUUUGAGGAAAUUGCACUUUCUUGUUUCUUGUUCUCCUGGGUUUGUACCCUAUGGUUGAAUGCACUUAUUGUACGUCGCUUUGGAUAAAAGCAUCCGCUAAAUGACAUGUAAUGUAAUGUAACUCUUCUUCCCGAUGUCAUGAAACCCUUUUUUUCCUUUUUAUUACGUCCACGGAUAAUCCGCGGUAAGUCACUACAUGAGUAGUGUGUGUGUGUGUGUGUGUGCGCGCACACGGCGGGGAAGACAGCGUCUCUGCUUUAGAGACAAGGCCAAUAAGCGACUUACAGGUGAACGUCUCUCUCCUCAUUCUCAACCACCUGCUCACAAAAUCGAGACGACUUUGACCCAGAAGCCUUUGACAUGUGAUUCCUGUCCCGUGUUUGACAGUGAAACAACCACACUAUCAGUUGAGGUAGUUAUUAAACGUCUGGUAAACUUAAACAUUCACAAAGUAGACAAUUUAUUUUUGUGAGCUGCGAUUUCUGUUUUUGGCAGAUUAAACAGUCAACUGCUUUUAGUCUGUAUUAUUGUAUUUUCUGAACAAUUUCAAAUAUGUUUAAGAUAAGAUAACAUUGCGUUCAAGGAUUCAUGCUCAAACCCGUAGUUUUCACUUUGGAAAUUUGUUCAGCACCUGCUAAUUUCUCCUGCUUAUGUGUUUCUAAUUCUAAUUCUAUGAUGUAGAACUGUGCACCGCUGAGACCAAAAAACGAAUGGCAUUUGUUGUUGUUGUCUUUGGUGGGAAAGAUAGUUGCAAAUUCAAAUGAAUUACUACACAGUGGUAUAUAACACAUUGAAGAAGAAUUUUCAUUAACAAAAUUGGAAAAAACCUUCUUUCUGUGUGCCGAUUGAAAAUAAAACAUUAUCGAAUCCCUG